rnacentral:sRNA from 1 species
UCCAUCCUAAGUCAGCAGCAGAGCGUGCCUGGGGCGUGAGCAGUUGGAGGGACCGACCAGUGGAGUGUGCGUGUCGGAAGGCAGUCUACCCAGUCGUGACUGAGCACAAAUGUGCAAUUGUCAUUUUCCUCUCCCGACUGUCUGGAUGACACUGAUGCCCUGGGCAGUAUGCUAAUCUCUUAGUACAUGAGUGGCUACCACACUGGCUACUAUAUGGGUUUCAGACAAAAUAAAAAAGAAGGAAAGUGCUCACAUACAAAUUAAGAAGUUCAGCUCUGUCUCAGGAGAUGGG